AUUUUGCGCCGAAAAUUUAACGGGGCUAAACUGUACACCGAAGCUUGGGAAUAUACCUCUGGUAUGUUGGUAGGAGAGCGUCGUAUGCGGGGUGAAGUCGUAGCGAAAGCGGCGGUGGACUGCAUAGGAGUGAGAAUGCCGGAAUGAGUAGCGAGAAUUAUGUGAGAAUCAUAAUGGCCGAAAGACUAAGGUUUUAGAAGGAAGGUUCGUCCGCUUCUAGUUAGCCGGGAGCUAAGGCGAGGCCGAAAGGCGUAGUCGAUGCACAUACGGUUGAGAUUCCGUAGCCACCUUAAAUUUAAACUAAGGGACACAUUGAAAGGGAAUAACCCAGGCGUUGGUUGACCUGGGCGUAAGGGAACGAAAAUAAGUAGUGAAGUAUUCUUGGACAGUGGCGAGAAAAGCUUAGUGUAUAUUAUUAGGGUGCCCGUACUGCAAACCGACACAGGUAGUCAGGAAGAGAAUUCUAAGGCCAUCGGGAGAAGCGUUGUUAAGGAACUCGGCAAAUUGACCCCGUAACUUCGGAAUAAGGGGUGCUCACGCGAGUGAGCCGCAGUGAAUAGGUCCAGGCAACUGUUUAUCAAAAACACAGCUCUCUGCUAAAUCGUAAGAUGACGUAUAGGGGGUGACACCUGCCCGGUGCUGGAAGGUUAAGAGGAGGAGUGCAAGCCCCGAAUCGAAGCCCCAGUAAACGGCGGCCGUAACUAUAACGGUCCUAAGGUAGCGAAAUUCCUUGUCGGGUAAGUUCCGACCCGCACGAAUGGUGUAAUGAUCUGGACACUGUCUCAACAACGCACCCGGCGAAAUUGUAGUACCGGUGAAGAUGCCGGUUACCCGCGGCAAGACGGAAAGACCCCAUGGAGCUUUACUGUAACUUAAUAUUGGGUCUCGGUACUUUAUGUACAGGAUAGGCGGGAGACUUGGAAACUAGCACGCCAGUGUUAGCGGAGUCAUCCUUGGGAUACCGCUCUUAAGGUAUUGAGAUUCUAACCUGCAGCCUUGAAUCAGGUUGGGGGACAUUGUUAGGUGGGCAGUUUGACUGGGGCGGUCGCCUCCAAAAGAGUAACGGAGGCGUUCAAAGGUUGGCUCAGCAUGGACGGAAACCAUGCUUUAGAGUAUAAACGCAUAAGCCAGCCUAACUGCGAGACUGACGGGUCGAGCAGUAACGAAAGU
rnacentral:rRNA from 1 species